AUGAACGCUGGCGGCGCGCCUAACACAUGCAAGUCGAACGGCACCCCUCUCCGGAGGGAAGCGAGUGGCGAACGGCUGAGUAACACGUGGAGAACCUGCCCCCUCCCCCGGGAUAGCCGCCCGAAAGGACGGGUAAUACCGGAUACCCCCGGGCGCCGCAUGGCGCCCGGGCUAAAGCCCCGACGGGAGGGGAUGGCUCCGCGGCCCAUCAGGUAGACGGCGGGGUGACGGCCCACCGUGCCGACAACGGGUAGCCGGGUUGAGAGACCGACCGGCCAGAUUGGGACUGAGACACGGCCCAGACUCCUACGGGAGGCAGCAGUGGGGAAUCUUGCGCAAUGGGGGGAACCCUGACGCAGCGACGCCGCGUGCGGGACGGAGGCCUUCGGGUCGUAAACCGCUUUCAGCAGGGAAGAGUCAAGACUGUACCUGCAGAAGAAGCCCCGGCUAACUACGUGCCAGCAGCCGCGGUAAUACGUAGGGGGCGAGCGUUAUCCGGAUUCAUUGGGCGUAAAGCGCGCGUAGGCGGCCCGGCAGGCCGGGGGUCGAAGCGGGGGGCUCAACCCCCCGAAGCCCCCGGAACCUCCGCGGCUUGGGUCCGGUAGGGGAGGGUGGAACACCCGGUGUAGCGGUGGAAUGCGCAGAUAUCGGGUGGAACACCGGUGGCGAAGGCGGCCCUCUGGGCCGAGACCGACGCUGAGGCGCGAAAGCUGGGGGAGCGAACAGGAUUAGAUACCCUGGUAGUCCCAGCCGUAAACGAUGGACGCUAGGUGUGGGGGGACGAUCCCCCCGUGCCGCAGCCAACGCAUUAAGCGUCCCGCCUGGGGAGUACGGCCGCAAGGCUAAAACUCAAAGGAAUUGACGGGGGCCCGCACAAGCAGUGGAGUAUGUGGUUUAAUUCGACGCAACGCGAAGAACCUUACCAGGUCUUGACAUCCUUUGACCACUCUAGAGAUAGAGCUUCCCCUUCGGGGGCAAAGUGACAGGUGGUGCAUGGUUGUCGUCAGCUCGUGUCGUGAGAUGUUGGGUUAAGUCCCGCAACGAGCGCAACCCUUGCUAUUAGUUGCUACGCAAGAGCACUCUAAUAGGACUGCCGUUGACAAAACGGAGGAAGGUGGGGAUGACGUCAAAUCAUCAUGCCCUUUAUGACUUGGGCUACACACGUACUACAAUGGCGUUAAACAAAGAGAAGCAAGACCGCGAGGUGGAGCAAAACUCAGAAACAACGUCCCAGUUCGGACUGCAGGCUGCAACUCGCCUGCACGAAGUCGGAAUUGCUAGUAAUCGCAGAUCAGCAUGCUGCGGUGAAUACGUUCCCGGGCCUUGUACACACCGCCCGUCACGCUAUGAGAGCUGGUAACACCCGAAGUCGGUAGUCUAACCGCAAGGAGGACGCCGCCGAAGGUGGGAUUAGUAAUUGGAGUG
rnacentral:rRNA from 1 species